AGGCAUUUUAAAGUGUUUUUUUUAAAGAAAGUUCUUGACGCAUUUGUGCCUUACAUAACAAAUAAAGCAAGUUUUUCCUGA